UGGCCAUCCUCUAAGUGAGUUGAAGCAUUUCAUUGGCUCUGUUCUUCAUUUGUACUUUCGAGAUGUAAAACAUCUGGCAUAGUUAACCACGUGAAGGGCAGUCUGCAAUUGUGUGUUUCCAUUUGUGUAUUGUGCAUUAUUACAAUGCAAUUGAUUCCAUGUUAAUUCUCCAUUCCUUCCAUUUUCUGCACCACUUAUUCUCAUGAUGGUUUCAGGCAAGAUGGGAGUUUUCAGUUUUACCCAAAGGUAUUAAGUUUUAUAUUCCAUUUAAAAUUUUGAGAUUGAUGUUUGUAAGAAUUUGCCAAUGUGAAUAAAAUGUGUUCCAAAUCAUUCUAAGUUUUUUUAAACACAAGACACCACCUGCUGACGAAAGUGAGGAGUGACAAUUACGUAGUCAUCAUUUACAGGCAGGUGAAAAUUCAAUUGGGAUGAUGUACAAUUAUGCAGGAAUACUCUUCAGCAUCCACGUUGGUUAAGUAUUUGUGGAUAAAGUCAGCAACCAAGAAAGAAUGUUUAUUUACACCAAUAAUGCUUUGACAAAUAAACAUUUUAUAUUGUAGAUCAAAUAUGUUGUCCUUAUACAGGAAGAAAAACAGCAGAUAAAAAAAUGCUUUUAAUUAUGAUGGCUAUACAUUAUUCGUCAUCAAAAGUGUUUCAAUUAUCCAUUGAAAGUGAA